UACGGAGGGUGCAAGCGUUAUCCGGAUUCACUGGGUUUAAAGGGUGCGCAGGCGGACUGGUUAGUCUGGGGUGAAAUCUCAUCGCUUAACGGUGAAACUGCCUUAGAUACUGCCAGUCUUGAAUCAGCGAGAGGUUCGUGGAAUUCCGAGUGUAGCAGUGAAAUGUGUAGAUAUUCGGAAGAACACCAGUGGCGAAGGCAGCGAACUGGCGCUCGAUUGACGCUCAGGCACGAAAGCAUGGGGAUCAAACAGG
rnacentral:rRNA from 1 species